rnacentral:lncRNA from 1 species
AAAAACUGACUCCUACACUAAAAAAACAUUCAUACUUAGUGUUUUAAAGAAGUUCUCAGACUGCAUGGCAGAAGUGCAGGCUAAAGACAAUAUAUGCUGAGCGACGGCGGGGAGAGCCCAGUGUCCUGGGACAGCUGAGCCUGCAAUGUAGGACUUAACCCCAAAGAGACUGUGCCGUCGUAACUAGCCAUGUUAUUUAUAUGUUUUUGUUCUGUCCAUUGAAAUCUUAUUCUUCUACCCUGUAGGGACUGGAAUUUGCAGAUUAUAUUUAUUUAUUGGUAUUUAUGUACUGAGUUUGUUAACGCUCCAUGGAGGAGCCCUCAGAGUCUAUUUAAUAAAUUAUACCGACACGA